UACGUAGGGCGCAAGCGUUGUCCGGAAUUAUUGGGCGUAAAGAGCUCGUAGGCGGUUUGUCGCGUCUGCUGUGAAAACCUAAGGCUCAACCUUGGGCUUGCAGUGGGUACGGGCAGACUAGAGUGCGGUAGGGGUGACUGGAAUUCCUGGUGUAGCGGUGGAAUGCGCAGAUAUCAGGAGGAACACCGGUGGCGAAGGCGGGUCUCUGGGCCGAUACUGACGCUGAGACGCGAAAGCGUGGGGAGCAAACAGG
rnacentral:rRNA from 1 species